UUGAUCCUGGCUCAGAAUCAACGCUGGCGGCGUGCCUAACACAUGCAAGUCGAACGCGAAAGGGACUUCGGUCCUGAGUAGAGUGGCGAACGGGUGAGUUACGCGUGGGUGACCUACCCUCGAGUGGGGGAUAACGUUCCGAAAGGGACUCUAAUACCGCAUGACAUUCCGGGUUUGAAGACCUGGAAAUCAAAGCCGGUGACCGCAAGGCCUGGCGCUAGAGGAGGGGCCCGCGUCUGAUUAGCUAGUUGGCGGGGUAACGGCCCACCAAGGCGACGAUCAGUAGCCGGCCUGAGAGGUCGGACGGCCACACUGGGACUGAGACACGGCCCAGACUCCUACGGGAGGCUGCAGUGGGGAAUUGUUCGCAAUGGGCGCAAGCCUGACGACGCAACGCCGUGUGGAGGAUGAAGGUCUUCGGAUUGUAAACUCCUGUUGAUCGGGACGAAUAGCUUCAACCUAAUACGUUGAGGACUGACGGUACCGGUUGAGGAAGCCAUGGCUAACUCUGUGCCAGCAGCCGCGGUAAUAAGGU
rnacentral:rRNA from 1 species